CUUAACACAUGCAAGUCGAGCGAGACCUUCGGGUCUAGCGGCGGACGGGUGAGUAACGCGUGGGAACGUGCCCUUCUCUACGGAAUAGCCCCGGGAAACUGGGAGUAAUACCGUAUACGCCCUUUGGGGGAAAGAUUUAUCGGAGAAGGAUCGGCCCGCGUUGGAUUAGGUAGUUGGUGAGGUAACGGCUCACCAAGCCGACGAUCCAUAGCUGGUUUGAGAGGAUGAUCAGCCACACUGGGACUGAGACACGGCCCAGACUCCUACGGGAGGCAGCAGUGGGGAAUCUUAGACAAUGGGGGCAACCCUGAUCUAGCCAUGCCGCGUGAGUGAUGAAGGCCUUAGGGUUGUAAAGCUCUUUCAGCUGGGAAGAUAAUGACGGUACCAGCAGAAGAAGCCCCGGCUAACUCCGUGCCAGCAGCCGCGGUAAUACGGAGGGGGCUAGCGUUGUUCGGAAUUACUGGGCGUAAAGCGCACGUAGGCGGACUGGAAAGUCAGAGGUGAAAUCCCAGGGCUCAACCUUGGAACUGCCUUUGAAACUAUCAGUCUGGAGUUCGAGAGAGGUGAGUGGAAUUCCGAGUGUAGAGGUGAAAUUCGUAGAUAUUCGGAGGAACACCAGUGGCGAAGGCGGCUCACUGGCUCGAUACUGACGCUGAGGUGCGAAAGCGUGGGGAGCAAACAGGNUUAGAUACC
rnacentral:rRNA from 1 species